rnacentral:rRNA from 1 species
AUUUUAAACGGCCGCGGUACCCUAACCGUGCAAAGGUAGCAUAAUCACUUGUCUCCUAAAUAGAGACUAGAAUGAAUGGCUAAAUGAAGACUAAACUGUCUCUUGCAGCCCACCUAUGAAACUGAUCCCUUAGUCAAAAAGCUAAGAUUACCCCGCAAGACGAGAAGACCCUGUGGAGCUUAAAACCAGACUCAUCCAAUGACCUCCCGGUUUUUAGUUGGGGCGACUUCGGAGAACAAAAAAUCCUCCGAUUAUACACCACAGAUCAACACAUCAAAUAUAACUUGACCCAGUAGCACUCCUGCUAACUGAUUAACGAACCAAGUUACCCCAGGGAUAACAGCGCCAUCCUCUUCUAGAGUCCCUAUCGACAAGAGGGCUUACGACCUCGAUGUUGGAUCAGGACACCCCUAUAGUGCAACCGCUAUAAAUGGUUCGUUUGUUCAACGAUUAAAGUCCUACGUGAUCUGAGUUCAGACCGGA